AUUGAACGCUGGCGGCAUGCUUUACACAUGCAAGUCGAACGGUAACAGGUUAAGCUGUCGAGUGGCGAACGGGUGAGUAAUGCAUCGGAACGUGCCCGGUCGUGGGGGAUAACGCAGCGAAAGCUGCGCUAAUACCGCAUACGAUCUGAGGAUGAAAGCGGGGGACCGUAAGGCCUCGCGCGAUCGGAGCGGCCGAUGUCAGAUUAGGUAGUUGGCGGGGUAAAGGCUCACCAAGCCAAGGAUCUGUAGCUGGUCUGAGAGGACGACCAGCCACACGGGGAAUGAGACACGGCCCAGACUCCUACGGGAGGCAGCAGUGGGGAAUUGUGGACAAUGGGCGAAAGCCUGAUCCAGCAAUGCCGCGUGCAGGAAGAAGGCCUUCGGGUUGUAAACUGCUUUUGUACGGAGCGAAAAGGUCUCCUCUAAUACAGGGGGCUCAUGACGGUACCGUAAGAAUAAGCACCGGCUAACUACGUGCCAGCCGCCGUAAUAC
rnacentral:rRNA from 1 species